ensembl:lncRNA LINC02694 long intergenic non-protein coding RNA 2694
CUGUUCUGAUAUGGAGCUACAAGGGGCCCAAGAGGACCUGGGCAUUUCCCUCUCUAGUCCCCGGAGGAACCAUGAAACCAGGCCAGGAAGCAAGGCUAAGGGCAGGAGCAGCAUCUGUCUCCAGGCGUCUGUUUGGAUGGCUAAGACACUUGGGCUGAGAUAUCCGGCUGAUCCGAACUCCAACAUGAAGCAUCCUUUCUGCUUUAGAUUGACCCCCAAAGAGUGAAG